rnacentral:rRNA from 1 species
UACGUAGGGGGCUAGCGUUAUCCGGAUUUACUGGGCGUAAAGGGUGCGUAGGCGGUCUUUCAAGUCGGGAGUGAAAGGCCGGGGCUCAACCCCGGAGCUGCUUUCGAGACUGCGGACCUGGAGACCAGUAGGGGUUGGUGGAAUUCCCGGUGUAGCGGUGGAAUGCGUAGAGAUCGGGAAGAACACCGGUGGCGAAGGCGGCCAACUGGGCUGGAUCUGACGAUGAGGCGCGAAAGCGUGGGGAGCAAACAGGAUUAGAUACCCGCGUAGUCCCUGAGCGGGCUGG